rnacentral:lncRNA from 1 species
UUAUUAGUUUGUACUGUAACUCUGUUUGUUUGUUCUUAUCUAGUUUGUACUGUAACUAUGUUUGUUUAUUCUUAUCUCCUUUGCCUAUAAAAGGUAAUAUAUUUCAUCUUGUAAGAUCAUCGAGUUUCCAUCUAAUAAAAUUUCUAGUGUGUUUUUAUACUAUGACUUUCUAAACUCUUUCUUUUCUUUUCUGGGUUUAAGCAAGGAUAAAAAGAAUAAUGAAUUUCAUGAAUGAUUCUUAAGUCUUGAAAAUAUGCUUUGUGCUUGCCAUUUAUUGGAUCCUGUACAACAGAACUCAAACAUACUAGCUUGUUUUUAUUCAAGAAGAUGUUUUGAAUUAAGGUUUUAUAGCUAAAAGGCAGUGCCUAUUAAAUGGCCGUGAGAAAGGCCUGUGUUUUGGCAUAGCAUAUCUACUGUCUAACCUUGAUUCUUAGUUCUCUUCUUGGGUUCUUUUUCCAGUUGCUAGAAACCAUCCGACUUAUAUUUCAUCUCACUUCUUUAGACGCUUCUUCUCCCCUAACUUGCUAAACUGAGAAAAAACUUAGACCAAUAACACUAUCCCCUUACGAUCCCUUUCCACCUCUUCUCUAACAUACUCAGUAAACCCAUUUCUCAUUAAGCAUUGAUCCCCUUUCUUUAAACCUUCUAUAGCGAGCAAAUAAGCAACCCUAUCCAUUGAUCUGUGGCCAUGUUUAAAUUGACAGGUUCGAAAUCUUUUACUCAGCCCUUGCCCAUCAUAAAUAUAAGUACAUAUUUUUUAUUUAUCAUUCCUUCCUUUCUGUAAUUUUUUGACAACAGAAAGGGCAUCUCCUUCAACUUCGAUCACUACAAACCCCAGAUCCAUGUCCAACUGUAUACUUUGAACGCAUGCAAGAGCCUCCGCCGCUAACACCAAAGGUACGUUUUCAUUUAACUAAACCUUGGAACUCAAUACCCACCCCUCAGAAUCUCUGAUUACAAUCCCUGAGUAACAUUUGUUUUCAUGUUUUCUGUAUGCUGCACCAAAGUUUAUUUUCACAAAUGGGUUCUUCGGUGGCCGCCACUUUUCCAGCUCUAUUUUUUAACAGGUAUGGAAUUAUUCAACCCAUCUAGUUCUCAAACAUAAUUCGUGAUAAAAUUUGCUAUGGCUAAACCUGUUUUCUUUUGCCUUUCAUGCACCAAUUUGUUUUUUUUAGUCCAUAUUACCCAUAAAGCACAAACACAAAAACGAUAUUGAAUGGUAGAAUUGUUCUCAAAAAACCAGGUAAACCAGUCCAUAAACUCCAUGUAUAAUACUGAAUCUGGCCAAAUCCAAUUCAAUUGAUGCCAUAUUUCUUUUGUCACCGGACAAUCACGCGGAUCAUGUUCUCAGGAUUCCACCUUUCCUGCGCAUCUUGGGCAUAUUGUUGUAUUUGUUAAUCUUUUAUACUUUAGAUUACAUAGAGUAGGAUUUUUUUUUUGAGAAACACCAAAUUGUAAUCUUCAAUUUCAAUGGUAGAUUCAAGCCCCAUAAUUUCUUGUAAAAAUUCGUAUGCUCAAUCUGGUUGUAUAAAUGAGUAGGCUCGGUAGACUGUUGUAAAAUAGAUUUAUAGGCACUACGAACUAAGAAUUCUCUCGAUGCCUCCCCUUUCCACACCUGGUAAUCUUCAUGUGGGAACCUUGACAAAGAGAUGCUCAAAAUUCUUUUAGCAUCACUUUCACAGAAAGUAUUUAUUAUGAACUCCAUUUUCCAUCUCCUUGUGCUAUUGUCAAUUAGAUUUGCCACCAUAAAAGCUCUAGAACAACUCUCACCAUUUUGAAUUAUCUAAUCUAUAGCCCUUGGUACCCAUGCAACCUCCCUUACUGGAAUUUUUGUUCCAACCCCAACUCGCCAGCAUAACUCGUCUUGGAGGAGUCCCUUAGCAGCCCAAACACUCUUUCAAGUAUAAGAAGGUAUAUUACCUAACCUUGUACUUAAAAAGUUUGUGUCUGGGUAAUAUUUAGUUUUUAGAGUACGAGCAAGCAAAGAAUUCAUAAAAUUAAUCAACCUCCAACCUUGUUUAGCAAGUAAAGAUAAAUUAAAUUUGGCUAAACUUAAAAAUCCCAAACCCCCAUUUUCCUUUAAUUUGCAUAACUUUCUCCAUUCACACCAUUGAAUUCCCCACCUACCAUGACUUUUUGCCACAAAAAAUUUGCAAAAAUAUUUUCCAUUUCAUGAUAAAGCGAUUUUGGUAGUAAAAAAUAGGCCAUCGAAUACGUCGAAAUUGCCUGUAGGACAAAUUUUAUAAAAAUCUCUUUACUUCCUUGCGAAAAGUAUUUUGUGCUCCAACUAUCAAUUUUGCUUUUCAUACGGUCUUUUAACAAUUGUAAUGACAUUUUCUUUCCCCGACCAAUCAUGUUAGGUAAACCAAGGUAUUUUUUAGGGUUUGUAGAACUUCGAACAUUUAAAGUUUGCAAAACUAAUUCCUUUACCUAUUUAGAAGUAUUCGAGCAAUAAAACACAAUAAACUUUUCAUAGUUCACAUAUUGUCCUGAAACUUCCUCAUACUCCUUAAGGAUAUCCUUUAGGAUUUGUGCCCCAUUUGCUAAAGCCUCACCAAAUAAGAUGCAAUCAUCAAAUGGGAUAUUUGCUGACCUCUUCGAUUUAUUCUAGCCCCCUCCACCAAACCUUCUUGCCUAACCAAUCUCAUUAAUGUCGAAAGGACCCUCACUACAUACCAGAAAUAAAUAUGGGCUUAAAAGAUCCCCUUGCCUUAAGCCUCUAGUGGGAUGAAACACCUCUCCCGCUUUCCCAUUAACCACGGUUGAGUACGAAGCUGAGCUUAUACAAUGAAUAAUGAACUCUACCCACUAACUUGCAAAACUCAUCUUUAACAUCAUUUAUGUAUAAAAGACCAUUCUACUUUAUCGUAAUCUUUACUUAUUUCUAGUUUUAAUGUCAAAAAACCUUUUAUUCCCUUUUUUUUUCUUUUUCUUUUUGCUUAAACGCAUUCAGUACUUCUUAAGCAAGAAGAACAUUAUCAGUAAUCAACCGACAUGUAACAAAAGCGCUUUGAGCCUCAUCAAUACAACAAUCUAAAACUUGUUGGAAAUGAUUAGGAACAAUUUUAGAAAUAAUUUUAUAAAAUACCGUGCAAAGGCCUAAAAUUUAUCAAGUUCACAGGCUAAGCGAAUUUUGAUAUGAGUACAUAUUUGUAACAUUGUGAGAUUCCAGUGACAUACCUUCAUUCAAUAUUUCAAGGCAGUAUGUGCUCACAUCCCGACCAAACAUGUGCCAAAACUUCUGGAAAAAAAUUGUCAGAAAACCAUCACUUCCAGCCGCUUUCAUUGGGGUCCAUUCCUUUCAAAACAGCAAACGCCUCUUCAUCCGUAUACAUAGCCAUUAAUAUCUGGUUCAUACUCUCAAUUAUUCGUCGCUCCACCGCAACCAAAAUAUGCUCCAUAUAUUCCCACCCCUUUCGUAGAAAAAAUACCCUUAAAAUAAUUCCGAAUUAUUUCCUCCAGUUCGCCCUCAUUAAUUAUUACAUUUCCCACCUCAAUUUUCAGGCCUUUAAUCCGGUUAAUAUGUCCCUUUUGAAAUGCAAAUUUAUAGAAAAAUGCGAUGUUUCUAUCCCCAUGUAAUUUAAUUUUCUAUGGGAUUUUGAUUUUAAUUAUAGAAAGUUUUAUAGAAUUGAAUUUUAUAUAUUUUGUGGAACACUUAAUAGAAUAUGUAAUUAAAGUUAGACAGUAUGGACUGCUUGUUUUCCUUCACGUCUCCAAUCAUCCACUAUAUUCGAAUAGUAAAUAAUUAAAUCAGUAAAGAUUAUAUAACUAUAAUCUAAAAAGAAUAUACAAUUAACUAUUUGAGAACGUGAGAAAAAAUUAUCACUACAAAUAUGAUCCAAUAUUUGAAAUUCAAUAAUUUUAUGAUUUUCCAAAUAUAUCUUAAGUUUUAAAAAUUAUUUUUAUACGGUAACAAUUUUUUAAAUAAUUUAUUUUAUUUUAUUAAUCUCAUUUAAAUAAUUUGAAUUUUUUAUCGGCGAGAAAUAAUAUUUACUAUACAUUUAACCUACUAAAUAAUUAACUAAAGAGAUAAUGUCACCAUUGGCCCCUGUACUUUGGAGUUUGUUCUAAUGUGACUUAAACUUUCAAAAUGUCUAAUUAGGUCUUGUACUUUAUUUUCGUUUACUAAUGAGGUCCCUAACCCCAACAAGGUAAUUUUUCUACUGACAUGGUGCUUUGCCUAAUCAGGGGCUGUCACCUGGCUGUCUGUUGACUGACUAUGUGAGGUCCUUCUUACCGGUUCUUCAUUUUCUCUCCUUUUUUUUAAUGAAAAUCAAAUAAAAAUUACCCAAGCACCUUUUUACCACAUUAUAAAAUAUAAUUUUUUUUAUAAAUUCAUUAAAAAAUUAUAUAUUUUAAUUUUUUUAUAAAUUAUAUUUUUAUGAAUUCAUUAAAAAUAUAUAUUUCAAAAAAUUAUAUAAAAUAUUUAAAAAUAUAAUUUUUAAAAAUAAAUUGUAAUAAAAAAUAUGAAAUUGUUUAUAAAUUAUAUUUUUAUAAAUUCAUUAAAAAUAUAUAUUUAUAAAAAAAUAUUAUUUUAGUGAUCUUUUGUUUGUUGGAAAAAUCGAUUUGAAAACAAUAAAAUAGUGCACAAUGAAAUUUUAAAAAUUUUCUUUUAAAUUGAUUGGUUGUUGUGUUUAUAGCAGUAAACCCUCUUAUUUGGAUUGUACAUGUGUUUUAGGUUAGGUGGACUAAAUCAUUACUGUUAUUUAAUCACUUAAUCUUCUCUACUAUCCUUGAUCUCAGUUUGCUAGAUUGUAGGCACUAUUUGCAAAUCAAUGAAAAACUUUUAUUGAAACUUUAAGACUAGAAAUCACAAGACGAAUUCCGUCAAAAGAUAAAAAUUACUUGGAAAAUAACUUUUCUAUAUUUUGACAGAAUGUCGACAUAGAGAAGUUUAUACUUUGACUUGGCCCUUAAACUCUAUUUAUAAAGAAAAUAACAAGAGUUUUAGUAAAAUAGGAUAAAAUCAAAUAAUAAUAUUUUAAUAGGAAAAAUGCAACCCUCAUUAGUAGUCUACAAGGUAGGCGGCAACAAGCCUUCUUUAGGACUAGGGUUUGUCGCCCCUCCCUAUUAAACUCGGCAUCAUUGUGUAUCGAGUCAAUUAUAUGUGUCGUCUGUUUUUAAAAUCAACUCAUAUAAUUUAUCCAAACCUGAUUAACAUAUUUUCUUAUGCCAAAAAAAACUAUUUAUUCAUUUAAUUAAUUAAAAUAAUUAAAUCAUUUUCUUAACCCAAAUCUGAUUUUGUUAAAGUCAUGACCACUUUACUAUACUAGAAUAUAUGAGUAAACUAAUUUAAUUAAUCUUGUUCUUAUGAAACUAUAUUGACUUAAUUAAUUUUAAUUGCCAUUUCAAACUUAAAUUAUUUAAUUUCCUAUUAAUUAAAUAAUAAUUUAAAGAUAUAAAUUAAUUCUCGAGUUACAUCUUGUUUAUAGUGAGAAAACAUAUUCAUUGCGGAUAGUGAUACAUGUGAUCUAUUUUUCUAUUUCGUCGUUCCACGUUUUUCAUUUCAUCAAUUAAUGCAAACCUUCAAUUUUAUAUCGAGCUAUCAAAAGGACCGAUUGGACAUAUAUAAUUAGAGAUCAAAUAAUUUAUAAUUAAGUUCCAACUAUUCGUCUAUUAAUUACAACAUUUUUUAGUCAUGAAGUCAUUCUACUAAAGUAUCAUGAUUGAGCUCUCCUUACUAUAUAUAUGUAACAUCUGACUUGAUCAUCGAAUCCAAGUAUGGGGUGCCACAAAUGGACCGGAUUAGACUAAAAACAAAUUUUAAACUUAACAAAUUUAAAGACCGACUUUAUUGUGUAACAAUAAAUAUUUCUUACAACAGAAACCUUAAAUUAAAAUAAAAACUAUCUCUAAUUUCAAACUCUAAGGAAACUAUAUAAUUACAAUAUAUUCAACCCCGAAGCGAAUCCUUUAAAGGCACCUCAUUGAAUGUGUAAUACACCUAACUAACGAUAUUCCUUGGUUUGAUAGGGUUUGGAUUGGUCCUUCCUUGAGCUCCUCAAUCCCCCAAAUAGUCUUGCAAACAUAGACCAAAAUCCUGUAAGUUCAAAGAAUUUAGUGAACUUCUUUACCAGUAUAUAUAAACAUAACUAAACCCUCUCUUGUCGAGGUUUUAACUGAAAAGGGACAAACACACUGAUGUCCACGAAACCAACUAAAAAUCUGACUAAGGCAAUAGCUACGGUAAGUAAAGAUAUCAUUCCCAUGAAGACUAAAAGUACUAAUAAUUACUGUCUUUCUAUUAUUUAACUAAAUAAAUCGAGUGAUUGAUUAAAAAUUAAAAUUAACUAAAUUAAUUAACUAACAAAGAACAAUUUAGGAAAAUAAUCAAGUAAAAACCAAGGAGCGAAACAAUACCCAGGAAAGAAUUCUCCUAGAUUUCAUCUAUUAUUAUCAAUCUAAAUUACGCAAUUUAUUUACUUAGUAACUUGAUCUGUAGACAUCCCUAAAUUAUGCUAAAAUCUUUUUCAAGAGUAAGAGCAAUUGACUCUAGGUUGAUUAAUUAAAAUUUCUUUUUAAUUAAAACCCUAUUAUCGCAUUAACUCGAUUUAUGGUUUCCUUAUUAGAUUUGACUCUAAUACGAUAGAUUUAUAUCGUCAUAUUUCUAGGAUUGCAUGCAACUACACUAAAUUACGCUAGAUCUACUCUUAAAGAGGAUCUAUUCUUUUUCUGAUUUAAUCACAUCAAACAUGGAUUAAUAAUAUAGAAAUAUCAAACCAAAAAUUAACACACAUAAUUGAGAAUAAGAUCUAAGUCUUUAUUGCGUAAAAUAAAAAUCAAAAGAUAAAAUUUAUCAUAGGGUUCAUCUCUCCUAGGUAUUUAGAAAAUUAGUUCAUGCUAAAAAAUAAAAACAUCUAAAACAUAGUAUAACUAAAAAAAAAAAAGAAACUUAUGAUAAUUUCCUAAGAAAUCGAAUGUGAAUCUUUAAUCUUCAUAGAUAUUUGUUUCAGAUCAGCUUCAAUGGUGUUUUUCAACUUGUUUUAUUGAGUAUUCUAUGACAGCUCCUUCCUAUCUUCUUAUUUUUGUCAUAUAUAUCUCUUAGAAUGCUCAAAAAACCAAAAAAUCAUGCUUUUGUAAACUUUAGUAUGCAAUCCCAUGUAAAUGACACAGUUUGCCACAUGGUUGUAUGACAAUGCGUGUGGAUCACACAGUCGUAUGGAAGGGAUCAGCCUAUUUGGCUUCUGUAACUCGCUCCGAUUUUUCAAUUUUUGCUCGUUUUUCGCUCCUUUUGCUCCCAAAUGCUCUCAUAAGUAUAAAAACAUGAAUUUAAAGGAUUAAGAGCAUAAAAUUCACCAUUAACAUAGAAUAAUCAACUAAAAACGCAUUAAGAAUGAGAUUAAAACAUGUUACUUUUAGCACUUAUCACACACUAUUCUCUGUUUGGCUUAUAUGUUCAUGCUUUAUCCGGAGUGGCGGACUCCGAGAUGACUUCUAUAUUUCCUUCUAGGCGGAUUGAUCACUUAAUGGUCAUUACUUGAUCAAAUUAAUGAUCGAUCAACAUGUUGUGGCAGUUCAUAGACAUUUCAUCAUACUUGUGGAUACUCACGUUCCUGCACAUAACACAUUCCUAAAUAAAACUCUCAUUACGUGUUAUCCUUUUUUUUAUUCUCUUAUCUCUUAAAAAAUACUGGUGUAUUCCCUAACAGUCCCCUUAUAAUACUGCUAGUACAAAUCCAUGCCAUUCUGGCAGACUUAACUCUAUUUUAUCUUACUUACUUCUACCUUUCACUCGGAAUGAAAUAUUGUUGGAUUACUUCCUUGUAAUCCGCCUUAUUUGCGUUACCUUACUUUUAAGGUGUAUCAUGUCUGUCUUUUUUGAACUACUUGAGCCUACAGUUUCCAGCAGAAUAUUAUAUGAGCAAUUGUUCAAGUUUACAAUCUCUCUUACAUGAUAGUUCCCUAUGGAACAAACUUUAUGACUAAUAUACUCGCUAUACACUUUCCUCAAAGAGGAAUAGUCUUAAUAGACAUAUCUAUCAUUUGAAUAUUCCUUAUUAGUACCUCUUUCUUAUUGUAAUGCCCCAAACUCGACUUGGACGUUAUGGCCAAAUCUGGCGAUGUCACAUGGUAGUGUGUUUGAAAACAGUAACUUGUGUUGGAGAACCGAACUCUGCUGGAAACAAUUUUCAUUUAAAAUCUUUUCAUUAUUACCUAUUAAUUCUAUUAUUGUGUUAAUUAAUCAUUCAAAAGCUUUCAAAAUGUUUAUUCUAUGCGAAAGCUUUUAAAAUCAUUUGUAUAUUCGUAAGUAUUUUGUUAAAACGUUUGGUUCUUUGAAAAAUCGAGUUUUCCCUAGUACUAGCAGUUAUAAACCAAAAUAAUAAAAAUCCCAAAAUUUAAAAUAAAAUCCAAAGAGGCCAUGAUAUAGCAAAAUACCCAAAAUAAAAUCAAGAUCAUAAUUAAGUACUAAAUAGAAUGAAAUAGGUCGUGUGGCCACCAUUGAGUCCUCUGCUGCAUCGAUCUGCCUAAGUCUAGUGAUUACCUGUACAGAUAAAACAGAAAGGUGAGUUUAUGAAAACUAAGUGUGUAAUUCCCAUAUAAACAAGCAGACAGAAUGCAAUCAUACUCUGGGCCUAAGCCCAUUUCAGUAAUAGUUUUAGUUUCAAUUAGGGCUUAGCCCAUUACAAUACAGAAGUAGUCAUGCAUUUGGGCCUUGGCCCAUUACAGUAUCAAUAUUCAGUAUAGUAACAGAUAUACAGUAUCAAAUCCUACCCAUCCAGCCUCUACGCUCUAACUCCGUCCAACCCUACACUCCAUGUGGGGAUAUAAUCAACCCACCCAUCCCUACAUUCCAAAAAGUACCAAAUACGGCACUAAACAGUAGUUUGCAGUUGAACUGCCAAUAAAUUAGGCUCGAGGCCUUUCUGUACACUUCCUCUGAAUAAUAUAAACCCCCAACCCAACCCAACCCAACCCAAUGCAAUAUAUAAAUAUGACAUGCUAUAACAUAAUAUCAUGAAUGUAAUCAGGGCAUACAGUAUCAAAUCAUUGGGACAUCAUUAUACUUUUUCCAUAUCAGUCAUACAGUCACUUCAGUUAAUUAAGGUUCUAGGUAAGCUUACCGACCUUACAGUAGGUCCACAGUCGACUCGGGCGACCCAUGCAACUUUAGCAAUCUAACAGUGAAAAUGGGCCCAUAAGCCCAUAAUGUUUGCCUGUGUGGGCCCACACGCUCGUGUGUCACACACGACCAACUUCAAUGAUCACAUGCUCGUGUUCAGUCACACGGCCUACCACAAGGGCGGCCGCAUGCCCGUGUGGCGUUGACAAUUACGCUUUUUAGCUUUUCAUCGAUUUCUAUUUUCAGAGUUAUGUUACACAUCUGAUUCUGAUUCUUUGCACAAGCACUUCUGAGUACUCAAAACUUAUCAAUUGACUAGUAUAUCACUUUUAUUAUAUACAUCAAUCAAUAACCAAUUGACUAAAAUUGACAGAUAUACUUCUAACAUCUUAAUCGAACUCUUACCUUACGAACACUGGACGUUUCCCUCUACAAUUCGACACUAGCACAGCCCUUAGCUCCAGACGUUCAGCUGUUAUCACAAUUAACAAAGAUUCCCCAAUUACCAACUUAAAAAUCAAAUUUUAAAACACCCUUAUUAGUAAAAAAACAACGAUUUAAUCAAGACCCAAAUACCAAGGACGGUUCAAUAAGCAUGAUCCACUUACCAAUGACAACUCUGUCCUUAACACUCCAACCUCAGCAACAAUACAAACUAAUUAUUGCCUUCCGCCUACCUUAAUUAACAACAAACUCUUUAGCCACCAACCAAAAAUCAAUUAGCCCGAGGCAAAAACACUACUUACCAAAUGCACAAAAGCACAAUGGAGAAGACAAGUUGUGGCAUAUAAAAGAGUUUAGAGAAAGAAUAGAUUAAUGGAGAAGCCAAAGUAGUAGAAGAAGGAAGUUUUCUAGUAAGCAAUCGACAGCAAAUAAAAGAAAAAGAAGAGAAAAGCCAGAAGAGCCAAUCGGCAGCAGUGAAGCAAGAAAAAGAAUGGUAGAGAAAAUGAUUCAUAAUGUCAAAAGGGGUAGAAAGGCCAAAAUUUUGAGAUGAAGAGAUCAGGUUCAACACAACUCUGAUCACUUCCCUUAAUCCUCUCUUCAAAAUCCUCAUUACCAACCAUCCACUUCCCUACUACACCUCAAAUUUCUUAUUUUCCUCUACCAAUCCCACAAUUACUGAAACCACCCUCAUUAUCCUCCUAAAAAUCGGCCACAACAUCCCCACACUCCUCAAAUACUUAAAAUUUUGGUCAAACUACAACACUCACACGACACCAGCAGUAGAAAUAAAUCCCCUUAAUCGCGCAGAGAUUCAAACCCCAGACCUCCAGCCACUUAACACUCCACUUAACCACCAGACCAGCAGACCCAUUUUGAUAUAUUUUACCAAAAUUUAUUUAUAAGCCUACUGAUUAGAGAUAGGGGUUUAUUCAUUUAAAAACAAAAAUUUUCCCAAGUUAAGGCUUGAACUUGAGACCUCUCAGACACUUCCCAGAACACUUAACCACUAAGGUAGACAUAUUUAUGUCACAAACUUACAAAAAUAAAUAUAUAAGAGAGAUUUUUGGGGCGUUAAACUUAUAUUCAAUUUCAUUUAGCACCCUUUGGCGGUUAUUAAUGGCAGAUUCAUAUUUGUGGUCCCCAGUUAAAUAUUCUUUUGUUUACUUAUACCACAGGCAUUACUGGCACAUUAUUCCCACAUUUGAAUCUUGCGGAGUUACCACCUAUAUUCCCUUUCGGCUUCCACGACUACUACUUGGACAGUCUUUUCCCACUUUUGUUACUUUUUCCAUUCUCGGUGGAUUCCUCAAAUCCACUGGCUAGCUAUCACUUGCUAAAACUUGCAUUUUUCUUCAAAUCCCUUUUUCUUCAUUUUUGUGAUUUCCCACAAUUUCCAUCCUGGCAGACUACCCUUUGUUCAGUGUCCCAACGGACUCCCUAUAAUGCCAUAGCCUAGGUACGAUCUUACUCAAUUUAACCUCAUGUUUAACGUUCUGGCGAACUUUCUGUGCUCAUGGUUAAGCUAUGGUCUUACACAUUAUGAACCUAUGUUUAACAUCCUGGCAAACUACCUCCAGUUUAUUGUUCUGGUAGACUCCAUAAGCUGCCAUAGUCGAGCUAUGGUUUUACACCACAUAACUCCAUGAUUAGCGUCCUGACAGACUAUGUUGGUUUCCAUAGUCGACCUAUGGUCUUACACCACGUAAGCCCAUUAUUGAUAGGAGAAAGUAAAUGAGAAAGUAAAUGAGAAAAAUACUAAGUAUGAAUGAAGCUACAACCUUAAUUAAUGGUUCUGUAAUAACUCGAUAGUCACGAGUAUCAGAAAGUGUAUUUUUGGGUCUCCGUUUUUGUAAAACGGACUCUGUAACGUGUAGGUUUGUGCAAGUGUACACAGUCGUUAUCUAGUAAUAAGUAAGUAUCGAGUUAUCUUCUCCACAGUGAUUGUAUUUAUGUUAAAUCACUUAAUUGUAAAAUUAUAUUAACAAAUUGGUAAAUAAAAACACAAUAUGAUUGAGAAGUGAUGAUUAAAAUUAAAUAUAUUAAACUAAAUACAAUGAUCCCCAAUGCAAAUUAUCCUAAAUAUGCAAACUAUAUGAAUGAAAUAGAUUUUAGCAAAAUUAAACACAAUUUGCAAAAUUAUAACAUAAAUAAACUAGGACAAUUACUUUAAUUAAACUCAAUUUAUUAUCAACAUGCUUAAUAACAUUUAGAAAAACAUUCCAUGGCAACUCGAUCUUUCAUUAGUUUGGAAACCACAUUAGGUCCUUUCGAAAUCCUUUACUUAGUAAAUAUGCAUUUUACUGAUCCUUAUUUACUAAGGGUUUCUUAGCAUUCGUGCGAGGUAACAAGGACGUGUUAGGUUUGAAAUAGUUUAAUCACACAAAUAUAACAACUAUGCAGAUAAUAGAGCUUGGUUAGAGUGAGUAUGCACAUUUCAAUUACUAAUUUAGGUGCAUCUCAAUCACGUUUGAACGAAAUACAAACUUAAUUUUAAUUGAAAACAUGAUCAAUUGAGGCACAAAUAUUAUAAGCAUGAAUCAAAUAAAUAUUAUUUAAUCAAAGCAAUCAUCCUAGCUUAAAUAAAAUUAAGCUAACAUUGUUGUAACAAGAACAAAAAACACAUAGCAAACAUUUUCAGAUUAAAUCAAAGAAAAGAAAGAUUAAACCCAAAUCAAAGUGGCUGUCACCCAAGACUUUGACCGACGAGGCUCCUUCACUCAUUCGCUUUGCUCUUUUGCUGAUGGCUCUCUAAGAUAGUCGACCAAGGACUCUUUAAGAGGCUUAAUUGCUAAAAUCUCUAUGAAGAGAUGAUACUAGGCGUGGGGAAUGGAAAAUGCUAAAGAGAAUUGAGAGAAAAGAGAGAAUGAUGAGGGAUGAGGAUGAUUAGGAAUGGUGAAAUGAAGUCUUAUUUAUAGGUGAAAAGAAGAGAGUAGUUUACUAAAAAUAGAUAGGUUUAGUCUUUUCAAGCUUCUUCAAUGAGUGGCCGGCCAUGAUUAGUGGAUUUUGAGUUGAAUUUUGCUUGAUUUUUAAGUAAUUUAAAUGCCAUAACAACUCAGGACUGAGACUCGGUCAAACGUAAAUCUUCGGGCAAAUAUCUAAUUUCUUUAACAUUGCAAAGACCUUGUGUAAUUAAACCAAAAAGUGGUUUAUGUGAACAGCCACGUGUAGCCGAAAUUGGGUUGUCUUGGUCUUCAAUUUGGACAGUUUUUGUAAUCCAAAAAAGCUAUCAGGCCUAUCCAAAAUAAAUCAAUAAAUUAAAGGACCAAAGAAUAAAAUAAAUAAAUAAUCAAAAACUAAAUUAUUAGUGAAAUAUUUUAAAAUGAAUUAUUAAAUAUAAUUUUAUAUUUUAUUAUUUAAUUUAAUUAUGCAUGGCCCAUUUUAUGUCAUAAAAAUAUAAUAUGUUCAAAUAAAUAUAAAAUAAGCCAUUUUAUGCAUGACAACUAUAUAAUAAUGCAUAAAAUCAUAUUUUAAUAAUUUAUAUGUCCUAAUUUCAUAUUUUCACAUAUUUCAUUAAUUUAUUAAACAAUUACUUAGUUUUAACAACGAAUUUAAGUAAAAAGGUGAUAAAUUGCAUAGGAAAAAUCCUAUAUAUUUUUCAGUUUACAGACUCAUAAAUAUUUAUUAAAAAUAUUUACGAAGUUAGUUGUGUGGUUAAUAAGUUUUGGCUAGGUGAAUUAGCUUGAAUUAAGGGUAAUUAGGUGUAAGGAUUAAAUUGAAUAAAGGGUGAAAGUUUAAUUAUAGAUUAAAGAAAAAGUAAAGGGACUAAAUAAGUAAUUAAACCAUAUCUAACAAGUGUAUGGCAAUAAAUGAAUACAUAUGUAUAAAUAAUAUACACAUGUAUAAAAUAAUAAAUAAGUAUUACUUAAAAAGUAAGUAAUAUAUAUUAUAUAUUAUAAUAAUAAAGUAAAUAAAAGAAUAAACAAAAGAAAAAAAAAAGAACAAAGAAUUGAACCGAAACAUAAGGAAAAAGAGAGAAAGAAAAAGAGAAAGAAAAGUGAAGGAAAAAUUAGGGUUUUGAGGUUCAAAGCUCAAUUAGUAAUUCAAUUUAGUCUAUUUUCUUGUAAUUUUUAUAUUUUAGAAUCUUAGAGUUGAAUAGUACCUAAUCUAUGUUGAAAUUUUAGAAAAUAUUGAAUUUUUAGAUAGUGUUCAUUUUGAAUAAUUUGAGUAUUUGGGACUAAAUUGAUAGAAUUUUAAGUUAGAAAUGAAAAAGGGAUUAAAUUGUAAAAUAAAUUAUAAAUUUUGAGUUAUAGGGACUAAAUUGAGAAAAAAUUGAAAUUUAGGAAUUUAAAUGAAAUUAGAGAGUUGAAUUUAGUUUAAAAUGGAAAUUGAAUGAAAAUAUGGAACUAAUUUUGAAGAAAUAAAGUUAGUAUCAGUUUAAGGACUAAAUUAGAAUUUAGGCAAAAGUUGAAUAAAAAAUUAAAAUAUUCAAUGUGAAAAAUGUAUUGUAUUGAUGAAUAUCAAUUGUUUCAAUUCCGUAGCUAACGUUAUGCCAGAAACCUCGACUAAGAAGGGAAAAAAAGUCAACGAGAAGUAGCCCGUAAAUAAUGAUUUGUAUUUCUUUAAUCUGAAUCUCAUUAAUAAUUGUUGUGUUUUUUAUUUAAUAAUUGUGGUAAGUGAAUAAGGUGAGUAAUUAGUUUUAUGAUAUUGAAUUGAAAGAAUGUGAAUUUGUGAUAUUUGAAUAUUGGAUGAUUGUGGUAUUUGUAAAGUGAAAUUGAAACCCUAUUAACUAUAUCGGGCUGAGUUGGAUAUAGAUGGCAUGCCAUAGGAUUGGAAGAGUUCAUGGAUUACUCAGCUUCGAGUCGAUGAGACACUGGGUGUCACAUUAUUACUUCGGAUAAAUUUGAUGAGGUACUGGGUACCAAUAUGCUUUGGCAAGGCCGAUGAGACACUGAGUGUUAACUUGUUACUUCAAAUUAUCUGAUGAGGCAUUGGGUGCCAAACUGGUGUGUUUUGGUUGGAUCCGUUUAUCCGUUCGAGUCCGAGUAAUGUUAAUAGGGGUUAUUGAAAUAAACAGUGUUAUGAUUGAUAUUGAAUAGUGAAAUGAGAUUUGGAUAAAGAUACAUGAAAUGAGUAUUUGUGAAUUAAAUAUGAAUAAUCAAUAUUAUAAUUCAAGUGAUAUGUGUGAAUUAAAUAUGAAUAAUCAAUAUUAUAAUUCAAGUGAUAUGUGUUGAUAUUGUGAAAAGCUAUCUGGGAUAGCAAUUGAUGAGAAUUGAAUGUUUUAUGAAUAAAUUGAUCAAUUGAUUGAUUAUUUUCAAUGUAUGUUUAAAUGUGAAUAUUAAACUACUCUACUUUUAAGCAUUCGGAUUAUAGAAAUACCACUGAGUUCAUACUCAGCAUACGGUUUGUUUUUCGUGUGUAGGUUAGGUGUUAAAGUUGAUUGUUGAUUCGGAAUCCACAACAAUCCCGAUCUCAAAAUGUGGUGAUAUAUAUUUCUUUUUAGUAAUGACAUGUACCUAUGAUGUUUAUGUUUGUCAUUUUGGGAAAAUGAAUGUAAGUAAUAAUAUAAGAUGAUAUUGGUUUCUUAUAUGUAUGAAUAUUAUGUUAAGGUUUAAUAUGGAAUGCAUGAGUAAAUGCAUAAGUGAGUAUAAUAUAGGCAUAUUUGGGUUGAAAAUUGACAUGAUUUUAGAAUUGGCUUGAAUGAAGUCUUAUUGGAUUGUUUUGGUUAAUGUAUGCAAAGUACCUAUGAGAGUACGUUGGUUAGGUCAUUAGGUAAUUAUUUUGACAUGUUUUAGAUGUAUUUGAAUGUGUUUUGGGUUGGUUGAAUAAACGAUUUUUGAGUUGCUUUGUGUUCAAAAUUGCAGGGUCUGGUAAACUUGAUGUUUAAGGUUCAUUUUGAGUCCACAUAGCCAGAUACAAG